CCCUUAGAUGUUCUGGGCCGCACGCGCGCUACACUGACUGCUCCAACAAGUUACCUGGGCUGACAAGCAUCCGGGAAAUCUUGCAAAGGCAGUCGUGAUGGGGAUAGAUUCUUGUAAUUUUUGAUCUUCGACGAGGAAUUCCUAGUAAACGCAAGUCAUCAGCUUGCAUUGAUUACGUCCCUGCCCUUUGUACACACCGCCCGUCGCAUCUACCGAUUGAAUGGAGAGGCAAAAUCUUCGGACCGUGACGCUUGGGAGUCAAAUCUCGGGCUGUCGUGGGAAGUGGAUUAAACCUUUCUAUUUAGAGGAAGGUAAAGUCGUAACA
rnacentral:rRNA from 1 species